GAUGAAGAACGCAGCGAAAUGCGAUACUUGGUGUGAAUUGCAGAAUCCCGUGAACCAUCGAGUCUUUGAACGCAAGUUGCGCCCGAAGCCAUUAGGCCGAGGGCACGCCUGCCUGGGUGUCACACGUCGUUGCCCCCCCAUCUACUCCUUCGGGAUUGCGGGGGGCGGAUGAUGGCCUCCCGUGCGCCUCGUCGCGCGGUUGGCAUAAAUGCCAAGUCCUCGGCGACGCACGCCACGACAAUCGGUGGUUGCGAAACCUCGGUUGCCCGUCGUGUGCGGUCGUCGCGCAUCAAGGGCUCGAAAAAAUUGCCGGGCUCCGGCUCGGCUUUCAACGCGACCCCAGGUCAGGCGGGGUUACCCGCUGAAUUUAAGCAUAUCAAUAAGCGGAGGA
rnacentral:misc_RNA from 1 species